GUCGAGCGGACCGACGGGAGCUUGCUCCCUUAGGUCAGCGGCGGACGGGUGAGUAACACGUGGGUAACCUGCCUGUAAGACUGGGAUAACUCCGGGAAACCGGGGCUAAUACCGGAUGCUUGAUUGAACCGCAUGGUUCAAUCAUAAAAGGUGGCUUUUAGCUACCACUUGCAGAUGGACCCGCGGCGCAUUAGCUAGUUGGUGAGGUAACGGCUCACCAAGGCGACGAUGCGUAGCCGACCUGAGAGGGUGAUCGGCCACACUGGGACUGAGACACGGCCCAGACUCCUACGGGAGGCAGCAGUAGGGAAUCUUCCGCAAUGGACGAAAGUCUGACGGAGCAACGCCGCGUGAGUGAUGAAGGUUUUCGGAUCGUAAAACUCUGUUGUUAGGGAAGAACAAGUACCGUUCGAAUAGGGCGGCACCUUGACGGUACCUAACCAGAAAGCCACGGCUAACUACGUGCCAGCAGCCGCGGUAAUACGUAGGUGGCAAGCGUUGUCCGGAAUUAUUGGGCGUAAAGCGCGCGCAGGCGGUUUCUUAAGUCUGAUGUGAAAGCCCCCGGCUCAACCGGGGAGGGUCAUUGGAAACUGGGGAACUUGAGUGCAGAAGAGGAGAGUGGAAUUCCACGUGUAGCGGUGAAAUGCGUAGAGAUGUGGAGGAACACCAGUGGCGAAGGCGACUCUCUGGUCUGUAACUGACGCUGAGGCGCGAAAGCGUGGGGAGCGAACAGGAUUAGAUACCCUGGUAGUCCACGCCGUAAACGAUGAGUGCUAAGUGUUAGAGGGUUUCCGCCCUUUAGUGCUGCAGCAAACGCAUUAAGCACUCCGCCUGGGGAGUACGGUCGCAAGACUGAAACUCAAAGGAAUUGACGGGGGCCCGCACAAGCGGUGGAGCAUGUGGUUUAAUUCGAAGCAACGCGAAGAACCUUACCAGGUCUUGACAUCUUCUGACAACCCUAGAGAUAGGGCUUCCCCUUCGGGGGCAGAGUGACAGGUGGUGCAUGGUUGUCGUCAGCUCGUGUCGUGAGAUGUUGGGUUAAGUCCCGCACCGAGCGCAACCCUUGAUCUUAGUUGCCAGCAUUCAGUUGGGCACUCUAAGGUGACUGCCGGUGACAA
rnacentral:rRNA from 1 species